AUGAUCAUACAUACCCUGUUAUUGGCAUUUCUCUCAUUUUAUGAUGACACUUACUCUCCUCAUGCUAGACCUAUGCUUAAUGAUAAAUAUCAUCCUUAUGCUAGCAUUGAGCUUACUGAUUUCUACCAUCCUAAACAUGUGCUUUAUAGCUAUGCUUAUGUAAUUGGGUACUCUAUUGAUGAUUUAGAGGGAAUUACUCCUGUCACUCGUAUUGUCUCUUUGGUUGAGUGCCUUUUCAGGUUUUUGCUUGUGCACCAAUCAAUACAUGCUGACCAGGUUCAAGGUGACAUUCCUUGGGACCCCGGUGGACUCAGAGCAUGGUGA
rnacentral:rRNA from 1 species